GAGCGGCGAACGGGUGAGUAACACGUGAGCAACCUGCCCCUGACUCUGGGAUAAGCCCGGGAAACUGGGUCUAAUACCGGAUACGACCGCCCCCGGCAUCGGGUGGUGGUGGAAAGUUUUUUCGGUUGGGGAUGGGCUCGCGGCCUAUCAGCUUGUUGGUGGGGUAGUGGCCUACCAAGGCGACGACGGGUAGCCGGCCUGAGAGGGCGACCGGCCACACUGGGACUGAGACACGGCCCAGACUCCUACGGGAGGCAGCAGUGGGGAAUAUUGCGCAAUGGGCGGAAGCCUGACGCAGCGACGCCGCGUGGGGGAUGACGGCCUUCGGGUUGUAAACCUCUUUCAGCAGGGACGAAGUUGACGUGUACCUGCAGAAGAAGCGCCGGCUAACUACGUGCCAGCAGCCGCGGUAAUACGUAGGGCGCAAGCGUUGUCCGGAAUUAUUGGGCGUAAAGAGCUCGUAGGUGGNUGGUCGCGUCUGCCGUGAAAGCCCGCAGCUUAACUGCGGGUCUGCGGUGGAUACCGGGCCGGCUAGAGGUAGGUAGGGNCAAGUGGAAUUCCU
rnacentral:rRNA from 1 species